AUGAUCAUUUGCAACAUCAGUGCCAUCAAAGAUUGGAGCACUUUCCUCUCCCAGAUCCUUCCCAGCGUUAACAAGACUCUGAACUUGGUACAGCAAGUGGAAGCCACCACCAGCUCGGUGGUAAGUGUCCUGCAGGACCCUGAGGACAGCUACCUGUCCAACAGCCAGUCCAUGAACUCCAGCAACUUCACGGCUGGCCUAGACCACUUGUUCCAGUACUCGUACUCAGACAAUGACCAGCUUUACAAGGAGUACAAGCCCCCUCCUCGAGACGCCAUUCCUCUGCCCAAGGCUGUCCUCUACCUUCUCAUGGCAGCCCUGGUGGUGGUGGCAGUGGCAUAUGCCAUCGUUGGGCAUCUCAUCAAGGACCUCAUUCAUGACUUUAUAGACUGGAUCUUUGGCCCCAGCCCAGAUGACAACAGCAACAAGAGCGACGUCAACUGCAUCAGCAACAGCGUCAAUGAGAUGAAUGAGAUGCCCGAGAUGCCACGGCGCCGGGACCGCCAGCCCCAGGACGUGGUCAUCACCAUUGGCGAGACCUGCCACUUACCACAACAGACGUGAUGGGCACGGUGGCUGGGCUAAGUGGGAUGGAGCAGCGGGAAUGGAGCAGAGCAAUGGAGCAGCAGGGAGAUGCAGUGGGACUGCAGCAGCCACCAUGCAGGACCAGGCAAAGAGAGGAAGGGAAGGGCAGAGCUGGUACCACAGAGCAAAGCCCUUCUCACCCUGGUUUUGCCAGCCUCUAAGUACUUUGCUGGGUGGGUGGCAUUCCCCUUCUCCCGGGCUUGUCAUUCCUGCCCUGAUGUCUGCCCAUGGGUUCAUGACCUCCCUUUCUUCCCUGUGAAUAGCAAAAAAGAAAGGCAAAUGCAAAAUACACCCACCAACAAGAGGAAUGAGCCAGAGAGGAGCCAGGCGGUCCUUCAGUGUGCAGCUGCCCUGCAGCACAGGGAUGCAUGGUGAAAAGGGCAAGUGAGACAAAAAGGCUGCAUGAGAAAUGGGGGUGUCUGUUCCUGGGGAGGAACCCAGGACAGAGCGGGGAGCUGAGGCUGCAGCAUGAGCUGGGGGCUGCAGAAAGGCACUGGAAGGUCAGUAGGAGCCAAAUCCAACCCUAUACACUGAUGAUCUGCACAGGCCAUCAUUCCUCCCCUUAGCUUUGCAGCUCUGUUGGCAGCUUUCCUCUUCCCUGCCAGGGCACUGAUACCCAGAACUGCCCUUCUCUCUUCUCCCCACUCCUCUCUGCUCAAAGGCAUCCUUUCCAUUGCUAACUCCAGGUGGAUCCUCACUUCCCCUUUUUUACGGGGCUCAGGGGAAGCCAGCAGCAGGUGAUGUGGGGGUGACCUCCCAGACCAAGUGGAAAAAGAAGCAUCCUGAUGGUUUCAUUCAUAUUCUAAGGCCAGUUCUUGCCCUGCUUGGGGUUUUGAACCAGGAUUCAUCAUUUUUCUGUAUAGCAGAGCACAGGCACCAGGAUCAACCUCAUUCCUUGGUCCCAGUGCCUCUUCCUCAUGAAGAUCCCUUUGAUCUCCACAUAUUUCCUAACCUUAAUAAAAGGCUAUAAUGAUGGCA
rnacentral:lncRNA from 14 species